UCUUGUCGCCCUUUCUAUAAAUCUUAAUACUCGACCUUUCUAUGGUUCUCUCAUGAUCAACACCCUGAGGGAAGGAAGAUUCUACUACUAUCAAGUGCUUCAAUGCUAAACGAUGACAAUACUACCCCUCUAACACAUCCAUGCACCAAAAUCUGACUAAAAAUAAUAUGGAAUGGGAAAAUACGUGAACCACAUGAGAGAUCCAAUCUCGUACUCUAAA
rnacentral:lncRNA from 1 species